rnacentral:rRNA from 1 species
UGGGGAAUUUUGGACAAUGGGCGCAAGCCUGAUCCAGCCAUGCCGCGUGCAGGAAGAAGGCCUUCGGGUUGUAAACUGCUUUAGUCUAGGAAAAAGGGAUGCUAGGUUAAUACCCUGGUGUUUUGAUGGUACUGGAAGAAUAAGCACCGGCUAACUAC